CCAACAGGGAUUGCCUCAGUAACGGCGAGUGAAGCGGCAACAGCUCAAAUUUGAAAUCUGGCCCUAGGCCCGAGUUGUAAUUUGCAGAGGAUGCUUUUGGUGCGGUGCCUUCCAAGUUCCCUAGAACGGGACGCCAGAGAGGGUGAGAGCCCCGUACAGUUGGACACCAAGCCUUUGUAAAGCUCCUUCGACGAGUCGAGUAGUUUGGGAAUGCUGCUCAAAAUGGGAGGUAUAUUUCUUCUAAAGCUAAAUACCGGCCAGAGACCGAUAGCGCACAAGUAGAGUGAUCGAAAGAUGAAAAGCACUUUGAAAAGAGGGUUAAACAGCACGUGAAAUUGUUAAAAGGGAAGCGCUUGUGACCAGACUUGCGUCCGGUGAAUCACCCAGCUCUCGCGGCUGGGGCACUUCGCCGGCUCAGGCCAGCAUCAGCUCGCUGUCGGGGACAAAAGCUUCAGGAACGUAGCUCUCUUCGGGGAGUGUUAUAGCCUGUUGCAUAAUACCCUUCGGCGGGCUGAGGUACGCGCUCCGCAAGGAUGCUGGCAUAAUGGUCAUCAGCGACCCGUCUUGAAACACGGACCAAGGAGUCAACCUUAUGUGCGAGUGUUCGGGUGUCAAACCCCUACGCGUAAUGAAAGUGAACGCAGGUGAGAGCUUCGGCGCAUCAUCGACCGAUCCUGAUGUUCUCGGAUGGAUUUGAGUAAGAGCAUAUAGGGUUGGACCCGAAAGAAGGUGAACUAUGCGUGUAUAGGGUGAAGCCAGAGGAAACUCUGGUGGAGGCUCGCAGCGGUUCUGACGUGCAAAUCGAUCGUCAAAUAUGCGCAUGGGGGCGAAAGACUAAUCGAA
rnacentral:rRNA from 1 species